rnacentral:rRNA from 1 species
AUCUAACUCGUGUCUCGGUGUUCUAUGCACUUGGGGUAUUGAGUAUGAUCGAUAAGUCAUAACGACUCUCGGCAACGGAUAUCUCGGCUCUCGAAUCGAUGAAGAACGUAGCGAAAUGCGAUACGUGGUGUGAAUUGCAGGAUCCCGUGAACCAUCGAGUUUUUGAACGCAAGUUGCGCCCGAAGCCGUCAGGCUGAGGGCACGUCUGCCUGGGCGUCACGCA